AUUCGUAAACAGCAGCCUAUUUUUUUUCUAGGUAGAAAUAUCCCAGAGAAAUAUGUUGUGUUUGCAAAUGUAGUGGAUGGCAUUGGGCUGUCCUCAAAGUUUUCUUUAAAAAUUUAUUUCGUGUGAUUAUUCCCCUGUAUAUAUUUAUUGUAUGUAGCAUUCGUCUGAUUGUUCUGUAGUUUUCAGUCCGUGUUCCAUACAAAUGAAAACUACCGAACCAUCAGACCACCCC